CUGAAGUUCACAUAUGUGUUGGCUGGCUGGGAGGGGUCAACGCAUGAUGCUAACAUUCUCAGUGACAACAUGACUCAACCUGAUGGGAUCAACAUCCCCGAUGACAAGUUCUACCUUGGAGAUAUUGGCUAUGCAUGUCGGCCGGGUAUUCUUCCACCCUUCAGGAAAACUAGGUACUAUCUCAACGAGUUCUCUGGUAGGAACUAUCCUAGGACCGCACAGGAGCUGUAUAAUCUCAGACACUCUAGCCUUAGAGUAACCGUCGAGAGGAUUGGAGCUCUAAAGAAUAGGUUUAAGAUCCUGGAUCAGAAGCCAUUCUACCCAUACCCCACUCAGGUUAAGCUUGUUCUUGCUUGUUGCAUUCUGCAUAACUGGAUCCUCCAGUGGGGCUUUGAUGAACACGUACUUGAGGAGGAAGAGGUCGAGCCUGACGAUGUUGUUAGCUCCGGCCAUGGUGUGGAGGCAUUUGACAAUGACUCUCGGAAGAACAAAAAGUUGGAGUGGGCAGAGGCAGUGUGGCUUAACAGAGGUUAG
rnacentral:rRNA from 1 species